GCACUGCUGAAAAGUCCCACACUAGGACGAAACAUCUGUCCAGUAC
rfam:Schistosoma curassoni strain Dakar, Senegal genome assembly, scaffold: SCTD_scaffold0012027